GAUGAACGCUGGCGGCGUGCCUAAUACAUGCAAGUCGAGCGAACGGACGAGAAGCUUGCUUCUCUGAUGUUAGCGGCGGACGGGUGAGUAACACGUGUAUAACCUACCUAUAAGACUGGGAUAACUUCGGGAAACCGGAGCUAAUACCGGAUAAUAUUUUGAACCGCAUGGUGCAAAAGUAAAAUACGGUCUUGCGGUCACUUAUAGAUGGAUCCGCGCUGCAUUAGCUAGUUGGUAAGGUAACGGCUUACCAAGGCAACGAUGCAUAGCCGAACUGAGAGGGUGAUAGGCCACACUGGAACUGAGACACGGUCCAGACUCCUACGGGAGGCAGCAGUAGGGAAUCUUCCGCAAUGGGCGAAAGCAUGACGGAGCAACGCCGCGUGAGUGAUGAAGGUCUUCGGAUCGUAAAACUCUGUUAUUAGGGAAGAACAUAUGUGUCCGUAACUGUGCACAUCUUGACGGUACCUAAUCAGAAAGCAACGGCUAACUACGUG
rnacentral:rRNA from 1 species